GUGCAAAGGGGCAUAGCCUUGAGCUCUGAAGAGCCUGAGCAAGCUCUUCUGCAUCAUUUCAGGCCGGGCUUGCUGCAAAUGCUGCCUGAAAUAAAUGGCAAGUACUCGCUGGGGCGGGGUUCCCAGUAGCUCAGCCGAGGCCCAAUGUUCUACGCUGAUCCUUGUUCUGCAAGUCACUGCCCAUCCUUGUAGAAUCCAGUGGUUAAGUAUACCAAAGGAUCUGUUACAGAUCACUCCAUCUCACGGCUUGUGCAGGAAACAAAAACACAGAUCUGAUUAUUAUGGUGUCUCAGAGCAGAGCCACUUCCCAGAGCAGCCCUUGAUCCAAGAAAAGAAGCAAUUCCAUGCAAUCUAGAACUAUCAGACCACUGUGAUUUUCACUGUUGAUUCUAAAUGGAAUGUAGAUUCCAUUCUUAUGCAUUUUGUCUAAAUGUACAAAAUAUCUAUGGUAUAUAAUUAUGUGCCUUAAAGAGUUCAAUUUAUUGUUUAAAAAUAGAAGAGAUAUUAUAGCAAAGAGCAUUGUGGUAAAAUGAUUUAACUUUGAAUUAUAUUGGGUGGGGGGAAUGCUUAGAAAGUCUACAGAAAAUGUUAAUCGCAAUAAUACUUGUGAUCGUAUUUUCUACUGUUAAGUGAGCAAAAAUUGUG